UUGAGCCGGAUGAGAAGAAACCCUCACGUCCGAUUUUGAAAGGGGGAGAUCCUAUUCGAUCCUAUCCAAAUUUUUCGUUUGCUAGGCCCGUAGUUAAAAAACCUACUUUCU
rfam:Cajanus cajan Scaffold131321_2, whole genome shotgun sequence.